rnacentral:rRNA from 1 species
AUUGAACGCUGGCGGCAUGGCUAAAACAUGCAAGUCGAACGAGAACCUCGCAAGAGGGGACAGUGGCGGAAGGGUCAGUAAUGGGAUCGAACGUACCCAGAGGUGGAGGAUAGCGUUGGGAAACUGACGGUAAUACUCCAUGUCCUCUACGGAGAAAAGAUUUAUCGCCUUUGGAGCGGCGAUCCUCCUAUCAGGUAGUUGGCGGGGUAAAAGCCCACCAAGCCUAAGACGGGUAGCGGGUGUGAGAGCACGGCCCGCGACAUCGAGACUGAGACACUGCUCGGACUCCUACGGGAGGCUGCAGUAACGAAUAUUCCGCAAUGCGCGAAAGCGUGACGGAGCAAUGCCGCGUGCAGGAUGAAGCGGUUUCGCCGUGUAAACUGCUGUCAGGGGUCAGAAAUACUGAUCUGCCCCAAA